CCAAGAUCUCCUGACUACAAUAGCUACCUAAAAAGGCUUAAGGAUGCCUGGCUUAAGUCAGUUUUUAAUUCAUCCAUUGGCCACACUGCACGGGUGCUAUGGAUGCAUUGGGAGUACGUCUUCUCCAAGUAGAUCUGAUAUAUGGGUUUCAAACUUCAGCGCUGACUCUGAGAAAUCACAGUUGUACAUUCUAUGCAGUCAUCUGGACCCAUUUGCUUUUAGGACUAUGGGCUAUCAUAUUCUAUACAGCUUUCCUCUACAUCAGUGACUUACAGGCUCCAAUAUGCACAGGCUAUAUAAUUUCCUGUGAGUGUUGUACAGAAUGGAGUUAAUGCCUGUUAACGACAACUGAGGAAAGUGGCAGGCUAAGAGUCAUUCUUUGAGUCUCAGUGUCAGUUAACAGCUCAGGUUUGAUACAUUAUGAGCAGAAUUAGUGUUUUGUUCCUAACUGGCCAUCAAAUCUUCCAACCUAGUCGAGUACAUCUAUGAUGGGUUGAUGGUUGGCAAAUGCAGCCAG
rnacentral:lncRNA from 1 species